rnacentral:rRNA from 1 species
GUCCACGCUGUAACGAUGUCGACUUGGAGGUUGUGCCCUUGAGGCGUGGCUUCCGGAGCUAACGCGUUAAGUCGACCGCCUGGGGAGUACGGCCGCAAGGUUAAACUCAAAUGAAUUGACGGGGCCCGCACAAGCGGUGGAGCAUGUGGUUUAAUUCGAUGCAACGCGAAGAACCUUACCUACUCUUGACAUCCACAGAACUUUCCAGAGAUGGAUUGGUGCCUUCGGGAACUGUGAGACAGGUGGUGCAUGGUUGUCGU